rnacentral:snoRNA from 1 species
AACCUUCCUUCUUGGCGCUGCUAUCGAAUUCAGGAUAGAAGUGUAUGUUAAGGAAGGAAAAGUAUAUCCCUUUUGGGUGUUCGGGUCACCUUCGGUGCCGUUUCAACCCUCGAACGGUGUCAUCCUCUGGGCUCGAGACAUCU